UACGUAGGGUGCAAGCGUUAAUCGGAAUUACUGGGCGUAAAGCGUGCGCAGGCGGUUUUGUAAGACCGAUGUGAAAUCCCCGGGCUUAACCUGGGAACUGCAUUGGUGACUGCAAGGCUUGAGUGUGUCAGAGGGAGGUGGAAUUCCGCGUGUAGCAGUGAAAUGCGUAGAUAUGCGGAGGAACACCAGUGGCGAAGGCGGCCGCCUGGACCUGACCUGACGCUGAGGCGCGAAGGCGUGGGGAGCGAACGGG
rnacentral:rRNA from 1 species